GACGAACGCUGGCGGCGUGCUUAACACAUGCAAGUCGAACGGAAAGGCCCUGCUUUUUCGGGGUGCUCGAGGGGCGAACGGGUGAGUAACACGUGAGUAACCUGCCCUUGACUUUGGGAUAACUUCAGGAAACUGGGGCUAAUACCUGAUAGGAGCUCCUGCUGCAUGGUGGGGGUUGGAAAGUUUCGGCGGUGGGGGAUGUACGCGCGGCUUAUCAGCUUGUUGGUGGGGUAGUGGCUUACCAAGGCAUUGGCGGGUAGCCGGCCUGAGAGGGUGGACGGCCACAUUAGGACUGAGGUACGGCGCAGACUGCAACGGGGGGCAGCAGUGGAGAAUAUUGCACAGUGAGCGGGAGCGUGAUGAGGCAGCGCCCCGUGCGGGAUGACGGCCUUCGGGUUGUAAACCGCUUUCGCCUGUGACGAAGCGUGAGUGACGGUACUGGGUAAAGAAGCACCGGCUAACUACGUG
rnacentral:rRNA from 1 species